AGUGACGAUAGCCUAGGAGAUACACCUGUACCCAUGCCGAACACAGAAGUUAAGCCCUAGAGCGCCGGAAGUAGUUGGGGGUUGCCCCCUGUGAGAUAGGGAAGUCGCUUAGCU
rnacentral:rRNA from 1 species